CAGUAGCCGCGGUAAUACAGAGGGUGCGAGCGUUAAUCUGAUUUACUGGGCGUAAAGCGUGCGUAGGCGGCUUUUUAAGUCGGAUGUGAAAUCCCUGAGCUUAACUUAGGAAUUGCAUUCGAUACUGGGAAGCUAGAGUAUGGGAGAGGAUGGUAGAAUUCCAGGUGUAGCGGUGAAAUGCGUAGAGAUCUGGAGGAAUACCGAUGGCGAAGGCAGCCAUCUGGCCUAAUACUGACGCUGAGGUACGAAAGCAUGGGGAGCAAACAGGAUUAGAUACCCGCGUAGUCCCUGUCUCUUAUAA
rnacentral:rRNA from 1 species